UACGUAGGGGGCAAGCGUUGUCCGGAUUUAUUGGGCGUAAAGAGCGUGUAGGCGGCCAUACAGGUCAGCUGUGAAAACUCGAGGCUCAACCUCGAGAUGUCGGCGGAAACCACUUGGCUAGAGUCCGGAAGAGGAGAGUGGAAUUCCUGGUGUAGCGGUGAAAUGCGCAGAUAUCAGGAAGAACACCUAUGGCGAAGGCAGCUCUCUGGGACGGUACUGACGCUGAGACGCGAAAGCGUGGGGAGCGAACAGG
rnacentral:rRNA from 1 species